rnacentral:rRNA from 1 species
CUACGGGUCGCAGCAGUGGGGAAUAUUGCACAAUGGAGGAAACUCUGAUGCAGCAACGCCGCGUGGAGGAUGACACUUUUCGGAGCGUAAACUCCUUUUAUAUAGGAAGAAGAUGACGGUACUAUAUGAAUAAGCGCCGGCUAACUCCGUGCCAGCAGCCGCGGUAAUACGGAGGGCGCGAGCGUUACUCGGAAUCACUGGGCGUAAAGAGCGUGUAGGCGGAUUAAAAAGUCAGAAGUGAAAUCCUAUAGCUUAACUAUAGAACUGCUUCUGAAACUCUUAAUCUAGAAUAUGGGAGAGGUAGAUGGAAUUUCUGGCGUAGGGGUAAAAUCCGUAGAGAUCAGAAGGAAUACCGAUUGCGAAGGCGAUCUACUAGAACAUUAUUGACGCUGAGACGCGAAAGCGUGGGGAGCAAACAGGAUUAGAUACCCCUGUAGUC